rnacentral:rRNA from 1 species
GAUCAUGGCUCAGGAUGAACGCUAGCUACAGGCUUAACACAUGCAAGUCGAGGGGCAGCAUGAACUUAGCUUGCUAAGUUUGAUGGCGACCGGCGCACGGGUGAGUAACACGUAUCCAACCUUCCGUUUACUCAGGGAUAGCCUUUCGAAAGAAAGAUUAAUACCUGAUAGUAUGGUGAGAUUGCAUGAUAGCACCAUUAAAGAUUUAUUGGUAAACGAUGGGGAGUGCGUUCCU